CUUCAGCGAGCCCAGCCACAGCGGCCGUCCCUCGGGCCGUUUCCGCCCGUACGUGGCGAGGAGUGCCUGGGCCUC
rnacentral:antisense_RNA from 1 species